AGUCAAACGAUAAUUUUUCGUGGCGUACGGGUGAGUAAAAAUAGAAUGCUGCCUUUUACUGUAGGACAAAUAAGAAUUAGAAUAUAAUUUUUAAAUACUAAAAAAAAGGUUUAUAUUUAAUAUAUUCCAUUAAAAGAUGGGUUUAUUUAAGAUUAGGUAGUUGGUGAUUUUAACAGCUUACCAAGCCUUCGAUCUUUAGUUGGUCUAUGAGGAUGACCAACCACAUUGAAACUAAGACAAGGUUCAAGCUGAAUUUUCGGGCAGCAGUGAGGAAUAUUGGACAAUGAACGAAAGUUUGAUCCAGCAAUAUUAUCUGAAUGAAGACGGCUUUUGUUGUAAAUUUCUUUCGUUUAAAAUGAUAAUGACAUGAUUAAAAGAAGUUUAGUCCUGGCUAAGAACUCGUGCCAGCAGCCGCGGUGAUACGGGAAGGGCAAGCGUUAUCCGUCAUAAUUGGGCGUAAAGAGUUCGUAGAUGGUAAAAUAAAUUAUUUGUUAAAUUUUGAAGUUAAUUUUAAUUGCAGCUUUUAAAACUGUUUUACUUGAGUUUUAUAUAGAAAAGCAAAAUUUUAUAGGGAAAGUUAAAAAUUAUAGAUCUAUAAAGGAAUGCCAUUAGCGAAGGCGGCUUUUUAAUAAAAACUGACAUUAAGGAACGAAAGUUUGGUUAGCAAAUAGGAUUAGAUACCCUGGUAGUCCAUACUAUAAAUUCUGAGUGCUAUAAUUUAAUGUAGAAAGAUUUUAAAAAUAUAAUUUCAAAAGUUAAUUAAAAAUUAAAGCUAUUUAUUUAGAUGUUUUUAAAGUUAAUGCUAUAAGCACUCCGCCUGAGGAGUACGUUCGCAAGAUCGAAACUCAAAGGAAUUGACGGGGACUAAUACUAGUGGUGGAGCAUGUGGUUUAAUGCGAUAAUCCGCGCAAAACCUUACCAGUCUUUGAUAAAAA
rnacentral:rRNA from 1 species